rnacentral:rRNA from 1 species
GUAGCGGCGAGCGAAACGGGAAAAGCCCAAACCAAGAGGCUUGCCUCUUGGGGUUGUAGGACUCCAACCUGGUAGUACUUUCAGAUAGUCGAAUGACUUGGAAAGGUCAGUCAAAGAGGGUAAUAACCCCGUAGACGAAAUUUGGAAUGCACCUAGGAGUAUCCUGAGCACGGCGGAACACGAGAAAUUCCGUCGGAAUCCGGGAGGACCAUCUCCCAAGGCUAAAUACUCCCUAGUGACCGAUAGUGAACCAGUACCGUGAGGGAAAGGUAAAAAGCACCCCGGAAGGGGAGUGAAACAGUACCUGAAACCGUGUGCCUACAAGUAGUCAAAGCCCGUUAAUGGGCGAUGGCGUACCUUUUGUAGAAUGGACCGGCGAGUUACGAUUUCAUGCGAGGUUAAGUCGAAAAGACGGAGCCGCAGCGAAAGCGAGUCUGAAUAGGGCGAAUAAGUAUGAGGUCGUAGACCCGAAACCAAGUGACCUACCCAUGUCCAGGUUGAAGGUGCGGUAAUACGCACUGGAGGACCGAACCCACGCACGUUGAAAAGUGCGGGGAUGAGGUGUGGGUAGCGGAGAAAUUCCAAUCGAACUUGGAGAUAGC